rnacentral:rRNA from 1 species
GACGAACGCUGGCGGCGUGCUUAACACAUGCAAGUCGAACGGUAAGGCCCUUCUUUUGUGGGUUGCUCGAGUGGCGAACGGGUGAGUAACAUGUGAGUAACCUGCCCUUGACUUUGGUAUAACUUCAGGAAAUUGGGGCUAAUACCGGAUAGGAGCUCCUGCUGCAUUGUGGGGGUUGGAAAGUUUCGGCGGUUGGGUAUGGACUCGCGGCUUAUCAGCUUGUUGGUGGGGUAGUGGCUUACCAAGGCUUUGACGGGUAGCCGGCCUGAGCGGGUUACCGGCAACAUUGGGACUGAGAUACGGCCCAGACGCCUACGGGAGGCAGCAGUGGGGAAUAUUGCACAAUGGGCGGAAGCCUGAUGCAGCAAAGCCGCGUGCGGGAUGAAGGCCUUCGGGUUGUAAACCGCGUUCGCCUGUGACGAAGCGUGAGUGACGGUAAUGGGUAAAGAAGCACCGGCUAACUACGUG